ACUCAACGAUGGCACUUUUAGUGCAAAAGCGGUAUCCUGACCUACAAUUACUGGAUGAAUUGAUGGCUGACACAUUCUACCAGCGAUGACAGGAGAUUAUUGGUGAUGAGCCACUCGUUGCUGCAGUCCUGGACCGAUGGCCUGCAUUAUUCACUGAGCGGCAGAAAAGUGCAGAGUUCUCAAGAAUCGUUACGAAAGACCUGAUGGAAAACUUCCUCACAGGACUUGACUCGUAUGUGCCCAGCCUCCUGCAGCUGUACAGGGGGCUGUGGGGUCGGACAGGAAGGUGGCACUGCAGGUCGUAAUGGAUUGUCUUCAAAAGCAAUUCACACUCCAGCAGGACCAGGACCCGGUGGUGCCGUCUAUCUGCUGUUUUGCCAGAGGAGGAUUUUAGCUGUAUUCUAUUUCAUGUAUUUCCUGUCUGUGGCUGCAUGGUGAGUAUGGACAUUCCAUCAUGUCGUGGAUCCGUGGGCUGGCUGCAUUGGAUACUCAGCCUCUCCCACUGUCCUGUGAAUGAUUGUGGGUCUGUGCGCUCUGGCCGUCCAAAUUAGCAGGUGAAGCUUCUAGUGGACGCACUAACCCGUGUGCUGUGUUUAAUGUUUUGAUUUCCUUUUGCUGUGUUUUGCAUGUGUGUGUAACUACAGUUUUGCAGUGUUUCUUUGAUUUUCAUUUGUUUUGUAAUUUGUGUGCAUUUCUGUUUUAUUUUUUCUGUUUGGGGAUACUAGUGGCAGCAUUCGCUAUUAGCUGUGACCAGCCCUCUGAACGGCUCAAAGUGUGCUGUAUGUUAAGUGUGAAUGUGAGUGAGUCUUGUCCCUGCUCGUUUGCACGUGCUGUCUUAUGUAUGCAUAUUGCCUAUAUUUUAUACAAAUAAUUUAACUAAGAAUAAACUAUUUAAACUGUG